CCCUUUCAGUUAUUCGCUUUUACUAGUGUUAGAGUUGUGUCCCUUAGCCGGAUGUGACGUCAACGGGGGAUAGAAAUUCGCCAGAGAAAAUAAAAUUUUACUGUGUCGCUGAAGAAAUCAACGUCUUUAGCACAAUAUAUGCGAAUCAUCCCAAAUGCUAUGUUCAGAAACAGUGAAGUACCAUGGCUGAACCAGAUCCUGUAACAGAAAAGAAAGUACAACAGUACACGACUGUGAUUGUCAUAAGCUGUAUGCCAAGGAUGUCCCUGGCGCUGUUUUACCGCAACUUCAACCAGAAAGAUGAAAAGUUACAGAGUUGCGAAUAUGGUUGAAAUGCCGGGGACAAGCUGUGAAAUCGAAUGAGACAAAAGCCGAACUUUGCUUGAGGUACUUAUUUUAUAUCGCCUUUUCAGGCCUUUUCCUGGUGUAUCUACGGGUCAGUUAAACGGACCCAUUCCCUAACCUAAAUUGUAAUUUGAAAAAAAUAAUUCCCAAUAAAAAAAGAAAGAAGAGGUUAUGAUUAUUUUAACUCAAUUAUAUGUAAAUGACAUCUAACAAAGUACAUUACCAUGAAUAAUAUGAUUUUUCAUCUAAUUUGAAUGAUUGUGAAGGGUUAUUUUAUAUUAGUUUUUCCCAAAUCAGUUGAUUUUUGGCACGAAAAAUUCACAAUCCUGCAAUUGCUUUUUUCCCAAAAUGGCCAGGAAAAAGCCUGCUUUUUAUAUUAAAAACGCACAUUCAUGUUGUGAAUUUUUUUCUAUGUUUCUGUCAACCAGUCUGUUAAAAAUAAGUUUUAUCUGUUUAGUCAGCCUGACUCGACCACACAGCAUAUAGUACUUUACAAUGUAUAUAACAUGCAUAGUGGCACACAGCUUUCUGCUUCAAUUAAAAUCCCUGACAUAAUAAGUUACAUUACUCUCUUAAGUCUGCAUUAGAAAUUGGUUGCCACUAGUUAAAUUGUCUUAUACAUUUUUUGGUCACAAAGAAGGUAGGGGUGGCGUUUAUUAGGUGGAAAACAAGUAUCUGAAACAG